CUGGGGAAUUGCCAAAAAUAGCAGAAGUUUGAAGAUACAGCUUUUCAUUUCUAUCUUAGCCAACUUUACCAUUCAAAUUUUAAUUGGGAAAGUACCUCUUUACCUUUAACUAAUUAAAUCUAAAACUACUUUUUUUUCCUACGAUUUCUUCAGAUCUCAGAUCCAAAAAAUUGAAUAUAUCCAAUGAUCAAAGCCGACGAGAUUGGCCAAUUCUGAAGAGUACUCCGGCGAGAUUCGACGACGAUAGCGAGUUCUCCGGCAAGAUUUAACGACGUUGACGAAUUCUCUGGCUAGUUCUCCGGCGAGAUUUGACGAGGACUACAACCUCAAAUAGUUUUCCGAAUCUAUCACCAUCGUUGAUCAAUCCGUUCAUGAGCUAUGCAGUUUAGUAUCAGACUCCGUUCUGGACCUCUCCCGCGGUUUGCUCGAGCUCCAAUCUGCACUCGAAGGGUUUUUGAUUCUUAUCGGUUACGAACAGAAACAUGGGGAUUGGAAGUUCAAUUCGACCGAGAAUCAUCCGUUUGUGAGGAUUCUUUCAUGCAGAGUGGAGACAUAGGCAGAGCUUCUUCACCAAGUAUCACUCUUUGUGAUGCGUACUCAGCGAUUGGGGAUAGUAGGAGUAUGUGAAUUUUCUGGAACCGUUCGUGAAUUUUGUAAUAUUACGUAUCCCAUUUGCAGAUUCAUCCCCGUCUUUGUUUGUGAGGGAGUUAGUGUCAUCAAUGGCUUUCCUUGUUGCUCAUGCCGUCAUGAAGCACUGCCUGCAUUCAGAUUGCUUAUGCGGUGUCUUAAGUAAAUCCCAGGGAAGAACUCAGAAGUAAGUACUUAUGAUUGACAGUUACUAUGAUGAAUGCUUAUAGGACCAAGUACUAAGUUUCUGAGACUAUUCAGGACAAUAGAAAUUUCAGCUGCAUUGUCAAGACACUAGUGGAUGCUUUCAUUGUGGUUGCGAGAGACUUGGUUGGAACUAGAUUGGAAGUAAUAGAAAUGCAUGUGUUUGGUGUUCAACUGGGCUAGCUGUGUGGUGUUGAACAAAUGCAAGAAUAUAGUUGAAGUUGUUUCUAUGUUGGUCACUAUCCUUCAGUACCAAGCUUAUCUAUAAGAAACCGUACUCUAAGAAACUACAUUACUGAUGAUGCUUAUCACUGGAAAGAGAAUUUGUAGUUUGCUUGGUCCGUCCACGAACUGGGUGUGUCCGGUUUAGUCCUAGUUUAACAAUGUGCCUUAUGUAGCUGUCAAACUCAAGGUUUAGACCUAUUCAUAGUGCCGGUUAUGCACUGGAACAUGUGGCCUUGGAAUAUUUAGUAGUUAUUGUAUUCAUAUGCUUCUUUAUGAAAGAGUUUUUUGGUGCCUAA